rnacentral:rRNA from 1 species
UACGAAGGGUGCAAACGUUGCUCGGAAUUAUUGGGCGUAAAGCGCACGUAGGCGGCAUUGCAAGUCGAAUGUGAAAUCCCUCGGCUUAACCAAGGAAGUGCAUCCGAAACUGCAGUGCUUGAGUACUUAAGAGGAUCGCGGAAUUCUCGGUGUAGAGGUGAAAUUCGUAGAUAUCGGGAGGAACACCAGUGGCGAAGGCGGCGAUCUGGGAAGAUACUGACGCUGAGGUGCGAAAGCGUGGGA